rnacentral:rRNA from 1 species
AGAGAACGCUGGCGGUAGGCCUAACACAUGCAAGUCGAACGGCAGCACAGAGGAGCUUGCUCCUUGGGUGGCGAGUGGCGGACGGGUGAGGAAUACAUCGGAAUCUACUCUGUCGUGGGGGAUAACGUAGGGAAACUUACGCUAAUACCGCAUACGACCUACGGGUGAAAGCAGGGGAUCUUCGGACCUUGCGCGAUUGAAUGAGCCGAUGUCGGAUUAGCUAGUUGGCGGGGUAAAGGCCCACCAAGGCGACGAUCCGUAGCUGGACUGAGAGGAUGAUCAGCCACACUGGAACUGGGACACGGUCCAGGCUCCUACGGGAGGCAGCAGUGGGGAAUAUUGGACAAUGGGCGCAAGCCUGAUCCAGCCAUACCGCGUGGGUGAAGAAGGCCGUCGGGUUGUAAAGCCCUUUUGUUGGGAAGGAGAUCCAUCUGGUUAAUACCCGGGUGUGAUGACGGUACCCAAAGAAUAAGCACCGGCUAACUUCGUGCCAGCAGCCGCAGUAA